rnacentral:misc_RNA from 1 species
AAAAAAGUUCCUAAAACCCUUCAAUUUCAAUCCAAUUUUCGCCAUGAAUUCCAACUCCACAACUCCAAAUUUCGAAAAUCUUCUUCUCCAAUCGUUAAUGGGUAGACUCCAAAUCCGUCCUCCUCCUCUUCCUUCAUCAAACCCAUCAUUUCUUUCUCCACAAUCACUCGAAGACCUUCUCUUCAACAACCUCCCUUCCGAUGAAGAAGAAGAUCAAGACUAUAACCUUAAUGGAUCCUCCUCGAAGUCCCAGCUCUCCAUAGAAGAAUCCAGGCUUGAAAAACAGAUAAUCAGAACAAUACUUACUGGAAAGAUUGAUUCAUUGAAACCCAAUUCUGGUCAGGCUGUUACGAUUGGUGAACAUCAUAUAUGUGUUGCGUUUCAUGAAGACCCAGGUACGGAUUAUCGGGUUUGGGAAUGGCAUGGACAUCUUAUGUUGUUUGAUGAAGAAAAUGGGUAUACACCGGA